rnacentral:rRNA from 1 species
CCUACGGGAGGCAGCAGUGGGGAAUUUUGGACAAUGGGCGCAAGCCUGAUCCAGCAAUGCCGCGUGCAGGAUGAAGGCCUUCGGGUUGUAAACUGCUUUUGUACGGAACGAAACGGCUCCUUCUAAUACAGGGGGCUAAUGACGGUACCGUAAGAAUAAGCACCGGCUAACUACGUGCCAGCAGCCGCGGUAAUACGUAGGGUGCAAGCGUUAAUCGGAAUUACUGGGCGUAAAGCGUGCGCAGGCGGUUAUAUAAGACAGAUGUGAAAUCCCCGGGCUCAACCUGGGACCUGCAUUUGUGACUGUAUAGCUAGAGUACGGUAGAGGGGGAUGGAAUUCCGCGUGUAGCAGUGAAAUGCGUAGAUAUGCGGAGGAACACCGAUGGCGAAGGCAAUCCCCUGGACCUGUACUGACGCUCAUGCACGAAAGCGUGGGGAGCAAACAGGAUUAGAUACCCUGGUAGUCCACGCCCUAAACGAUGUCAACUGGUUGUUGGGUCUUCACUGACUCAGUAACGAAGCUAACGCGUGAAGUUGACCGCCUGGGGAGUCGGCCGNGAGUGAACANAAGAGAGUAGAGNGNGAGAGNGACGACGACGACGACGAGGGAGGAG